rnacentral:rRNA from 1 species
CAGCCGCCGCGGUAAAACGGAGGGCGCGAGCGUUACCCGGAUUUACUGGGCGUAAAGGGCGUGUAGGCGGCCUGGGGCGUCCCAUGUGAAAGGCCACGGCUCAACCGUGGAGGAGCGUGGGAUACGCUCAGGCUAGAGGGUGGGAGAGGGUGGUGGAAUUCCCGGAGUAGCGGUGAAAUGCGCAGAUACCGGGAGGAACGCCGAUGGCGAAGGCAGCCACCUGGUCCACUUCUGACGCUGAGGCGCGAAAGCGUGGGGAGCAAACAGGAUUAGAUACCCCUGUAGUCCCUGUCUCUUAUAC